GGACGGUUUGUCGCUGGUGAGUAGGUCGAAGAUUCGUCUGAAACCGAAAGCGAGAGGAAAGUCCGGGCAGCACAGGGCAACCCACUUCCUAAUGUAGAAGCAGUCGGCGACGGCUGGGGAAAUGCAGAAGAAAAGAACCGCCCGCAAGGGUAAGGGUGAGAAGGCGGGGUAAGAGCCCACCAGCGCGAUGGUGACACCGCGGCUGUGCAUCCUGGGUGCUGCAAGUUCAUGUAAACUGGCGUCUGAGGGUAGCCCGCCCGAGCCAUACGCCAGAGGGUAGAACGCUCGAGCCGUGUGGCGACAUACGGUCUGGAUAAAUGACAAACGCCUGCGCUCACAUCGGGCAUCCGCAUCGGCUGGUGCCCCGCUCAGGUACAGAACCCGGCUUACAGGCCGGCUGC
rnacentral:RNase_P_RNA from 1 species